rnacentral:rRNA from 1 species
UACGGAGGAUGCAAGCGUUAUCCGGAAUUAUUGGGCGUAAAGCGUCCGCAGGUGGUUUAUCAAGUCUGCUGUCAAAGCGCGAGGCUUAACUUCGUAAAGGCAGUGGAAACUGAUAGACUGGAGUACGGUAGGGGCAGAGGGAAUUUCCGGUGGAGCGGUGAAAUGCGUAGAGAUCGGAAAGAACACCAACGGCGAAAGCACUCUGCUGGGCCGACACUGACACUGAGAGACGAAAGCUAGGGGAGCGAAUGGG